rnacentral:rRNA from 1 species
GACGAACGCUGGCGGCGUGCCUAAUACAUGCAAGUAGAACGCUGAAGGAGGAGCUUGCUUCUCUGGAUGAGUUGCGAGCGGGUGAGUAACGCGUAGGUAACCUGCCUGGUAGCGGGGGAUAACUAUUGGAAACGAUAGCUAAUACCGCAUAAGAGUAGAUGUCGCAUGACAUUUGCUUAAAAGGUGCAAUUGCAUCACUACCAGAUGGACCUGCGUUGUAUUAGCUAGUUGGUGAGGUAACGGCUCACCAAGGCAACGAUACAUAGCCGACCUGAGAGGGUGAUCGGCCACACUGGGACUGAGACACGGCCCAGACUCCUACGGGAGGCAGCAGUAGGGAAUCUUCGGCAAUGGACGGAAGUCUGACCGAGCAACGCCGCGUGAGUGAAGAAGGUUUUCGGGUCGUAAAGCUCUGUUGUAAGAGAAGAACGAGUGUGAGAGUGGAAAGUUCACACUGUGACGGUAUCUUACCAGAAAGGGACGGCUAACUACGUG